UCGGGCUCCAGGGACUCGAGAAAGAGGAACUCGAAGACCUGUUUAACAAACUGGAUCAAGACGGAGACGGCAAAGUGAGUCUUGAGGAAUUCCAGCUUGGCCUCUUCAGUCAUGAGCCCGCGCUACUUCUGGAGUCUUCCACUCGGGUUAAACCGGGCAAGGCUUGGUCUCAUUACCAGGCAUCUGGAGCAGGGGUACCGGGAAAGGCUGAGCCUCCUGCGGUCUGAGGUGGAGGCGGAGCGAGAGCUGUUCUGGGAGCAGGCCCACAGGCAGAGGGCCGCGCUGGAGUGGGACGU
rnacentral:lncRNA from 1 species